AUUGAACGCUGGCGGCAGGCCUAACACAUGCAAGUCGAACGAGUGGCGGACGGGUGAGUAAUGUCUGGGAAACUGCCUGAUGGAGGGGGAUAACUACUGGAAACGGUAGCUAAUACCGCAUACCAUCAGAUGGGCCCAGAUGGGAUUAGCUAGUUUGUGGGUUACCGGCUCACCAAGGCGACGAUCCCUAGCCGGUCUGAGAGGAUGACCAGCCACACUGCAGCUGAGUAACGGUCCAGACACCUACGGGAGGCAGCGGUGGGGAAUAUUUCACAAUGGGCGCAAGCCUGAUGCAGCCAUGCCGCGGGUAUGAAGAAGGCCGUCGGGUUGUAAAGUACUUUCAGUGGGGAGGCGUUACCCGCAGAAGAAGCACCGGCUAACUCCGUGCCAGCAGCCGCGGUAAUUC
rnacentral:rRNA from 1 species